UGAUGAUUUCUGUAUUCUUUAUCUUUUUUCUAUAUUCUAGUUAGUAAUAAAUACUUAAUCACAAAGCAAGCUCAAGAUACUUUUGAUUUCUCACAUGGGCUAAAUCCACAAAUUUCCACCACAAACUUGGCGACGAGGAUGGGAUGGACGCGUGAUCUGGACUCUGACGGACGGACAGGAGGCCAUAUAGUAUAGGUGAUUCCUCCCUGAGGGUGAGAAGCUGCCGUCCCGACGAGACCCGGAUUGCCGAUCCAUCCAGUUCAAGAAAAAGAAACGACGAACACGCGGUGAGAGAUCAAAAUUAUUUUAAAGGCAGACAGAGUCAUUGACAAAAGGGUUUUAGGCCUAUCUCACAACGAGUGUGUUGUAGACAGACGUGUCUGGGUCACCUGUAGUAUUUUCUCAAGUUGCAUAUCCUGUGUCUCCUGAAAAUUCACAGGCCAACUUUGGAUAAAUGCAGUAGACUGAGUGGCCAGAGAAAGCAACGGUCACUGACUUGCCUUGGUUAUACGUGUGGUAUUUCUCCGUUUGUGCGCACCUUUAUAGGCGCGUUCACUCCUUGCAUACAGAUACAGAUAACUGGAAUGGGUAGUGUUCAGAGUAAAGGGGAGACGGGUGAUAACCAUGAGACUAAUAUCCUGCCACUAUUGUGUAAAUUUAUGUCAGAGCGUUAUCCUGGCAGUUUGAAUUAAAUACAAAAAUGGGUUGAAUUGGGGUUCCCUCCAAAGGGGAGUUUGAGUGAGAAUCAAUUGGAGCAGUUGGAAUUGCAACUGAGGGGGAAGGAGAAGAACGAUGCAGCUCAGCAUGCAGGCCUGUCGAGAAGAAAGCAGAAAAAGAAUGUGGUAUGUAAGGCAGAUUGGGAAGCUUUCAAGAUGUGGAAGUAUGAGUCGGAGAGAAGGGAGAGACAGAGUUCCCGAGGAGAUUGGUGGACACGGAUCUGGACUCCCCCCCUCCCCUCACUGCUCCUCCAGCUCCCGCCUUCAUGAGCCCGCAGUCUCCACGGCAGGAAGCAGCACAAACAACCUUUCCUCGGCUUGACAACAGCCCACCAGGAGGGAAGCCAGAUUCAACCUCCAACACCAGCCAGACGACCUUUUCACCUACUGUGACCCGCUCGCAGGCUCAACAAAGACGGGUCUUGCUCAGAGAAGAGAAAAAGACGUUGUUCGAUCCUGCAGCUUCUUUUCCAGUGGAGGGGGCGCAAGGGCCGAUGCUGGUUCUCAGACCCUGGUCAGAUACCGAUGUGACCAAGGCAAUGAGCCACGUCUGCAGUCCCAAGGACAAUCUUGCUAAGUGGGAGACUGAUUUUCAGCAAUUUGUCAGAAAAUACCAUCCUAGCAUGUCAGAGCUGCGGCGUCUGAUGUGCAGACUUCUGACACAUGACUAUCACAAGGUUCAGAGUGUGUUCAACACCACAAGAAUGGCUGCUCGCCUUAAAGAUCCUGAUUGUGAGCACGGCACAGAUAUGGACAUUAGAAGUGCUGUAGAUGCUCUCAUUGUGUUGGUAAAAGAACAAUUUCCUCUGAGACUGAACCUCCCCACCGUCACCUCUAUGACACCAUGGCCACAAGAAACAUGCAGCUCCUUCCUGGCACGCCUGACGACAGCUUUUGACAUCCACAGUGGCCUUAAGCGACCUGAUCCAAUGGGGGCACAGCCCCUGAUGCCAUAUGAAGUCCAUCUGAAAGAACAUUUUAUAAGCAGAAUGAGACCUGAGCUUAUACGGAUGGUGAAGAGAUCAUGUGUAACCUGGAAAACGUGUGCUCUUGCAGACAUCCUUCAGCACGCUGAACACGCUGAAGAUGAGUUACACAGGAAAAAGGACAAACUAAAAGGUUUGGAAAAGGCUCAGUAUGCAAUGUUUACGUGCUUGCAGUGCCAACAAUUUGCCCAAGGCCAACGUGGAAGAGGAAGAGGUUAUGGAAGAGCUCGUGGCAGAGGCAGAUCAGAUCGGACUUACGGGAGUUAUGAUCCAAGCGUGUGUUACAAUUGUGGACAACAAGGACAUUGGCGAGCAGAGUGUCCUGAGCACAUGAGGAUGAGACACAUCACACGUCUGACUGAGGAAGGCAGAGGGAGGGGCGGACCCCAGAGACGGAGCACCCCAUCACGGAGGAGAAAGUAACGCACCCUACACAUACUCAUAAACGAAACAAAAUAGUUGUGCACACACACACACACACACACACAUCUUAGAUCGCAUGUCGAGUUAUAUUCAGAGAUUCCCAUAAUUAACGUUGACGAUUUCUUGCCAUCCGGUAACACUUGUAGUUGACUCAAGAGCAAUUGGCAUUGUGUUUGAGCUCAACAUCAGAUGGCACACACACAAAAAAAAAAAAAAAGAGACUAAAUUGCAAUUAUUUUAGAUGUUUAACUACAGUCCAAAAACCCUCCUGUAUGUAUAUGGAUGAAAACUACUAGCAUACCUUGAUGCAUUAAUUACUCAUGACCAUGUAAAAAUUGCGCAUACACACACGGUAGAAGAUUACAUGCAUGAACAGUCAUUACAUUGCACAUCCCAUGUAAGCACAGGGCGAGAUAGAAGGUAUGUGGACGUAUGGCAUGACCAAAAGUUGGAGAAAGAGAGAUUAUGGUUGAAGCAUGUGUAUUGGUCAGAGGAGGCUGCUGCGGUGUCUGUAUCUCUCUCUCCUUCCCAAAGGAAAAAAGGUGUUCCUCGAUUCUACCCCACAUUUCAUUGGCUAAACCAUCUCACUGGGAUACAGGAUCUUGGUCCAUGGUUGCAACAGCGUCUCGGCCUAAAGUUCAGACCGGGUGCAGAGGAUCCUCAUGAAGAGUAUAGCGCUAGUGGUAAUGUAGAUCGCACUACGUUGAUCACACGAGUAAGUGUACACAGAACAGUAGAGCUCGUUGAGGAAUACACACAACACGCAGACUUGUAUAGCCUCCCAAACAAGAAGACAUAAGUUGGUUUGUUUUUUUUUUCUUUUUUGGGCGCGGCUAUAAAUGGAUAGGAUGUCCAGUGGGUUACCACAGAAGUCAGGUGUAUUCCACAGAAGCGCUUAGGAACAUCUACAUAAUUUAUAACUCCCUGCAGGGUCGGCCCAUCUAAAUUAUGUGGCUGAUAUGAUGAUUUGCAGCCCAUCAAAGGAGGCUUGUAAAAUUGAUACAAUUUGGCUACUUAAACAUUUGGCAGAGAACGGAAAUAAGGCUUGCCUAUGAAAAACUUAAAUUUGCUCUAGAACAAGUGACUUAUCGGGGACAUGUGAUCACAGCUGAGGGCAAAAUCCCUCUCUCCCAAACGUAUUGGGGCAAUUCAAUUGGUACCAAAAACAAAAAAAAAACGAAUGAUGAGUUUUUUGGGGAUGACUUCAUACUGUAGACAGUGGAUCCCUAUUUAUUCAGAAAGAGAGGCACCUCUCUCGUUCAUGGUCCACGGUAAAGGCCUCAGCGCGCAUGACAAACUGACUUGGACUACUGAAGCUGAAAAGGCUUUUCAGGACUUAAAGACUUCCUUAUCACAGGCCCCGACUCUGGGCCUGCUGAGACCCGACUUACCGUAGACUCUGUUCAUAGACCAGAAGGACUGUUAAAUGACAUCAGUUUUGUGUCAUCUUCAUGGAGGACAACUUAGGCCUGUUGCCUACUUCUCCUCAAAACUUGACCCUGUUGCUUCGGGUCUUCCUCUGUUUGCGAGCAGUGGCAGCAGCCGAGAGAGACAUUUUAGCAUCAUGUGACAUUGUGGGCUUCUGUGAUGUCCCACUUACUGUCUCUCAUAUCUUAUAUGCCCAGAAGACUUCUCACCUCUCUGCUCAGAGAUGGUUCAGAUAUCCUACAACUUAAUGUAAUUGUCAAACGAUGCAAUGUCCUUAACCCAUCUACACUUCUUCCAACUGCAGAUGACAGAGAGCUUCAUGACUGUGUCGAAGUCUUGCAGCAGACAUGCAUACCAAGGCCUGAUCUGUUGGACACACCUCUUCCCAAUGCAGAUCUUGAGCUGUUUGUAGACGGCUCCGCUUCUCGCUCACCAGACACGGGCAGCGGUCAGGUUGGGUUUUCAGUGGUUACAUCACACAGCACACUUGUUAGUGGCAGGCUUCCUUCACACUUCUCAGCACAGGCGGUAGAGUUGAUUGCACUUGCCGAGGCAUGUAAAGCAGCUGAAGGUAAAACAGUUAACAUCUUCGCUGAUUCACGUUAUUCUUCUGGUGCGGAGCUCUUUAGAGACACAGGGGGUUUCUUACGUCAUCUGGCAAGCCUAUUGCACAUCAUACCCUUGUGUCUGCUUUUCUGGAUGCCAUUUUACUACCCAGAGCCAUUGCAGUCAUUAAACGUGAAGCUCACACCUCUUCUCUUGACCCUGUAUCUGUAGGAAACAGGGGCGCGGAUGCGGCUGCGAAGAAGGCAGCCUCGCAGGGCUUCCUUUUCCCCCUGGCUCACAUGCUUUCCACACCGACCGAUCCUAGUCCUUAUGCCGAUCUUUCAACACUUCGGCCUCUUGCCGGUGCACAGGAGCGUUCCCUGUGGAAACGAUCUGGUGCCAUUCUUGAGGGCGGAAUCUACACAGGGCCGGACAGUAGGCCCUGUUUGCCACGUGCUCUCUUCCACAUUUAUGCUAAGUUGUCUCACGGAAAAGAUCACGUGGGCAAAGGGGGGAUGUGCACUGCUAUAAAUGAGCAUGCUGAGAUAUUGUGCUAACCUCUCCCCUUCACUCUCAGCACUGCACGAAGAGGUGAAAGCGGCGCUUCCAUCCACAGCUACAGCAAUGCAGCACCACCGAAAACCAGGAGACUGGGUCCUCAUUAAGGAUCACUGGAGGAAGCAGAGACGCUACACGGGGCCCUUCCAAGUACUCCUGACCACGGAGACGGCAGUUGAGGUGGAAGGGAAAGCGACGUGGGUUCACGCCAGCCACUGCAAACGCAUCCCGGAUCCAGGAGGCGAAGGAGCACCUCCAUCUGGUUCCGGUUAAGGGGUUGCAGGGUGGAGAGCCCUCCCCCACUGCAGUGUUCCAGGACACCGACGAGCCCGGUAGAGACGGCAGAGACAGCAAGGACGGCAGCCACCCGGAGAACAGCGAUAAAAGACAGAUCUCCAGCGCCAAAGAACACUUAGGAAGCAUGGUUGGAGCCUGAGAAUGAACAUGUGUUUAUCACUAUCACUGGCCACAUUUGUGCUGAUUCCCCUCACGAUCAAUGAACUACAACCUCCUUAUGUGAACAUCACGGAUUCCAGCGUUCUCCACCUCUCCAAUAGAGAAUUUCAGGAAGUUUCCACUGUCCAGCAAAACAAUGCGACAAGACAGAGUGUUUGCUCUACACAAUCGAACAUGAUGCAUGGGUUGAAAUAGAAAGUUACGUAAAUGAAAUUGUGUGUGUUGCCGGGUUGGGAGAAGAAUAUGUACUGUGGGGGUGCACAAGAGUUUUGAUUUAGCAGAUCCACCAUUCUGGUGCAGUAAACCGUGAUCGUGUCAGGAGAUACCAGCCUACACUGGCUCCAGCAACUGGAGGGAGGCAUGCAAAAGAACUUACCAGCCUGUCUGAGAGACACAGCCUAAAACAGCACAACCUGAAAUAAUUUACGGGGCCGUUAAACCACAGGCCCUGACCUCCCUUAGGCCAGAACAGCCCCCCACUAAAGCAACUUGGAGGCGAGGGUUGAUCUCUCUCAAUUGUCCGAGAGGGGGGACUGAGAAGGAGGGUUGUAAAGCUUACAUGUUACGGCUGAGCACGCCGCACUUAGGUCACUGGUCAGUCCUGGACUCGGAGGACGUUAGAACUCAGUGUCAGACAAAUGAUACUUGUACGAUGUCUGUAAGUCCUAAAUAUGAUGCAAGUUGGGAAUACCCGUUCCGGUGCGCUCUACCUGAAGGUUGUACGACGGAACCAGCCCAUUUCACUCGGCUAGAUUGGCAGUAUGCGUGCAAGUAAGCCUAACGUUAAGAACUUCCAAACCGUACACCACCGUACAAGCAUGAUAAUAUUGCGUUGACUAUUAUGAAGGAUUUUGCUAACAAAAGGAAUGUCUAAUUGUUGGAUAUGUCAGCAUAUGCCCAUUUCAUCUAGAGCACCUAUGUUGGUUCCUGUUCCAUUCACGGAAGCCGACUGGGCUGUCAUGGGGUGGGCUGAGCUAUCUCAUCGAUUUGUGAGUAAUGAUGAAGACUGUUACACUCCUCCAUCGCAUACGGCGACAAGAGCGCAAAGCACAACUGCCUAUGAGGGUGAAAAGGGGAAAGUUGUGCGUUUUGCAGUUAAGCAAUUUAAUCUUGAGGAAAGGCCCGUAGGUAUUAAUCAAGUGAUGUUGUUUAGAUUAACCUAUUACAAAAGAUACGUCCAACAAGGGUUAAGAUAUCAAGUGCAAAUGACUCUCGGUGAGACUAAUUGUACGGCGGAGAAUGAAUUGUUAAAAACUGCAUGUACUCUCAUACCAAAUACAGCAUCUAUUCGAUUGGAGAUGGGUAUACAGAGCAUCCCUUGGGCAAAUUAUUUAAAAGUCACACAUACAACUUGGAGUAGACAUAAUUGUAGUAAACCUUUAAUCCCAACUAGACCUCCGAAUAGAGAUUGUACUAACCCAACACCUCCCAUUCCGGUCCAUCCCUUAACCAACGUCAGCCGCUGUGUUAACUUCUAUGCCCUGGAUGGAUUUCAUCUAGGUACGAGUGACUGUAGUAAUGAUAUUAUCAGCUUUGCCACUGAGUUUAAGGACCUCGCAUUACCGGGAAAGGUGUAUUUAGUUUGUGGCAACAUCGCUUACAGCUGUGUUCCGGUCGUAGGGAACCUUCGUAAAAGGUCAGUAACUGGGAAAUGCUAUUUAGCAUAUCUUAUACCCCUAAUUAGACAAGCUGACUCCAAGGGACUUGCGCCAUUCCAUGUACGUCAUAAACGCGCCAUUUCACUAGGUUCAAGGAUUUUGAGCAUACUAAUACCGUCCUAUGGCACCUACAGGAGCCAAGAGGAAAUAAGGGCACUCUCAACAGUACUGGAAAGACACAUGAAUAAGACUUCAAUAGCACUUUCCGAAAUGCAAAAGGAAGUAAAUGACAUCAAACACAUGGUACUACAAAAUAGAAUGGCUCUGGACCUCGUUCUGGCCUCACAAGGCGGGGUAUGCAAGAUAAUUAACAGUGAAUGUUGCACUUACAUCUCUGUUGCAACAUCGCAGUUUAUGAUGUGGUGGCAGACAUAGAGCAAGGCAUUAAGGAAUUACAUGAAGACCACGGCUGGAAUUCUUUUGGGGGAAUACAGGCACGGGUUGGAUCACGGGGAACUUCUCUCUUCAAGGAACUGCUAUGGGAAUUAGGGGGCAUUAAUCUGUCUGUAAUUGUUACAACCCUAAUUGUAACUGUUUUAAAGCUCUUUGUAAGGAAGGUUGUUAGUACUCAUGUAUCAGUUGAACACACAAGUACUACUAUACGGUGUCCGGUUCAGGAAUGGACUCCACCCUAUCCGGAUAGCUUUGACAGUGAUGAUGAGUGUGAGGAUUGUGUAUAACUAAACAGCAUGUAUGGUGUUAAUGUUUAGCAAGAGUUCUCAAUGUACCUAGAAGUUAAUGAUGUGAUGUUCUGAAUCUUCGUGAAUUUACACCACUCAUGUAUGUUCUAAACGUUUUCUUUGUUGUUUAAUUUUCUUUCUUAAUUUCGAUUUGAUUGUUGUUUAGAGUUUCUUAAGUUGAUUCCGGAUUGUCAAAAAUGACAAAAAGAGAGGGAUGUUGGGGGAAAAUUGUUGAGCCUGCGUGGGGUGAGGCUCUCAGGAAUGUGACCCUUGAUGUGAGCCGGUGACUUAAGGCAGUCCAGGGUGAGAUAAGACACAGAUGAAAACAUGCGUGCCCUGACUGACCUUUUAGAUGUUGUUGAUUGUCUGGGUCCAUAAAGGGAGGGUCACAGGGUCACCCCUACAUCAUCUGCUACUUUUCCCACAUUCCUCUUGAGGGGUGGGCUGUCCUGUCCUGAGGCAGCACAAACCCCCCUAAGUGUAUAAAACCUCCUGUUCUCCUCUUUGACUUUGUCAGAUCUUCCUGCUCCUUUUGGGGGAAGGAACAUCUGUCCCUUUUCAGCUGAAUUGUAGUCAUUUGACUUCUGUCUGUG
ensembl:lncRNA